CAGCCAGACUAUACAUCCGUGGGGCUGACACACGAUCUAGACACAUGUCCAUGUGUCUACUCGUGUGGACAAAUUUUGAGGCUAAUUUCCAAGCCCUCUUGUCACCCAGAACAACACUAACACACUCACAUGCUAAUGGUGAUAAAUUAAGCAAUUUUUGGGUUACUUAGACCUCUAAAACUUUAUGUCAUGCAUGACAUUCACAUAUCAAAGUAUACAUAUUUAAAACUCCCCACUAGACAAG
rnacentral:lncRNA from 1 species